AUUGAACGCUGGCGGCAGGCUUAACACAUGCAAGUCGAGCGGAGAUGAGGUGCUUGCACCUUAUCUUAGCGGCGGACGGGUGAGUAAUGCUUAGGAAUCUGCCUAUUAGUGGGGGACAACAUUCCGAAAGGAAUGAUAAUACCGCAUACGUCCUACGGGAGAAAGCAGGGGAUCUUCGGACCUUGCGCUAAUAGAUGAGCCUAAGUCGGAUUAGCUAGUUGGUGGGGUAAAGGCCUACCAAGGCGACGAUCUGUAGCGGGUCUGAGAGGAUGAUCCGCCACACUGGGACUGAGACACGUCCCAGACUCAUCCGGGAGGCAGCAGUGGGGAAUAUUGGACAAUGGGGUGAACCCUGAUCCAGCCAUGCCGCGUGUGUGAAGAAGGCCUUAUGGUUGUAAAGCACUUUAAGCGAGGAGGAGGCUACUGAGACUAAUACUCUUGGAUAGUGGACGUUACUCGCAGAAUAAGCACCGGCUAACUCUGUGCCAGCCGCCGCAGUAACAC
rnacentral:rRNA from 1 species